UACGAAGGGUGCAAGCGUUACUCGGAAUUACUGGGCGUAAAGCGUGCGUAGGUGGUUCGUUAAGUCUGAUGUGAAAGCCCUGGGCUCAACCUGGGAAUUGCAUUGGAUACUGGCGGGCUAGAGUACGGUAGGGGAGUGUGGAAUUCCCGGUGUAGCGGUGAAAUGCGCAGAUAUCGGGAGGAACACCAGCGGCGAAGGCGGCACUCUGGGCUGGUACUGACGCUGAGGAGCGAAAGCGUGGGGAGCGAACAGG
rnacentral:rRNA from 1 species